UUUACCCAUUCCGUUUGACCCCUCCCUUACAAAAGCCUGAUGUUAGGUAAUGUGCAGUGUCCACAACAGAUUGUCUGAUGAAAAUAACGAGCAGAAAUACCUUAAUAGGCUUGUAGCUCAGGCGGUUAGAGCGCACCCCUGAUAAGGGUGAGGUCGGUGGGUCAAGUCCACUCAGGACUACCCAAUGGUAUCCCAGGCCAUCCAACCUUUCCGGUGAAAGCGGGGGUUAUCCUUCACUUCUACCUUUUAUUGCUUACCCCACAUCCAAAACCUAUUUACCAAUAU
rnacentral:tRNA from 1 species